UACGUAGGGUCCGAGCGUUGUCCGGAAUUAUUGGGCGUAAAGGGCUCGUAGGCGGUCUGUUGCGUCGGGAGUGAAAACUUACAGCUUAACUGUGAGCGUGCUUCCGAUACGGGCAGACUUGAGGUAUUCAGGGGAGAACGGAAUUCCUGGUGUAGCGGUGAAAUGCGUAGAUAUACGGAGGAACACCAGAGGCGAAGGCGGAUCGCUGGGCCAACACUGACGCUGAUGUGCGAAAGCUAGGGGAGCAAACGGG
rnacentral:rRNA from 1 species